GACGAACGCUGGCGGCGUGCUUAACACAUGCAAGUCGAACGAAGAGCGACGGAAGCUUGCUUCUAUCAAUCUUAGUGGCGAACGGGUGAGUAACGCGUAAUCAACCUGCCCUUCAGAGGGGGACAACAGUUGGAAACGACUGCUAAUACCGCAUACGAUCUAAUCUCGGCAUCGAGGAUGGAUGAAAGGUGGCCUCUACAUGUAAGCUAUCACUGAAGGAGGGGAUUGCGUCUGAUUAGCUAGUUGGAGGGGUAACGGCCCACCAAGGCGAUGAUCAGUAGCCGGUCUGAGAGGAUGAACGGCCACAUUGGGACUGAGACACGGCCCAGACUCCUACGGGAGGCAGCAGUGGGGAAUCUUCCGCAAUGGACGAAAGUCUGACGGAGCAACGCCGCGUGAGGGAUGACGGCCUUCGGGUUGUAAAGCUCGGUUAAUCGGGACGAAAGGCCUUCUUGCGAAUAGUGAGAAGGAUUGACGGUACCGGAAUAGAAAGCCACGGCUAACUACGUG
rnacentral:rRNA from 1 species